rnacentral:rRNA from 1 species
UGGCUCAGAAUGAACGCUAGCGGCAGGCUUAACACAUGCAAGUCGAGGGGUAUAGAUCUUCGGAGAGAGAGACCGGCGCACGGGUGCGUAACGCGUAUGCAAUCUGCCUUUUACAGAGGGAUAGCCCAGAGAAAUUUGGAUUAAUACCUCAUAGUAUAUAGACUCGGCAUCGAGAUUAUAUUAAAGUCACAACGGUAAAAGAUGAGCAUGCGUCCCAUUAGCUAGUUGGUAAGGUAACGGCUUACCAAGGCUACGAUGGGUAGGGGUCCUGAGAGGGAGAUCCCCCACACUGGUACUGAGACACGGACCAGACUCCUACGGGAGGCAGCAGUGAGGAAUAUUGGACAAUGGGCGCAAGCCUGAUCCAGCCAUGCCGCGUGCAGGAUGACGGUCCUAUGGAUUGUAAACUGCUUUUAUACGAGAAGAAACA